rnacentral:tRNA from 1 species
GCGGACGUGGCGGAACUGGUAGACGCAACGGACUUAAAAUCCGUUUGGCCUUGCGCUAGUGUGAGUUCGAAUCUCAUCGUCCGCACCA